CAGCCGCGCGGUAAUACGUAGGGCGCAAGCGUUGUCCGGAAUUAUUGGGCGUAAAGAGCUCGUAGGCGGUUUGUCGCGUCUGGUGUGAAAACCUCAGGCUCAACCUGGGGCGUGCAUCGGGUACGGGCAGACUAGAGUGCGGUAGGGGAGACUGGAAUUCCUGGUGUAGCGGUGGAAUGCGCAGAUAUCAGGAGGAACACCGAUGGCGAAGGCAGGUCUCUGGGCCGCAACUGACGCUGAGGAGCGAAAGCAUGGGGAGCGAACAGGAUUAGAUACCCCUGUAGUCCCUGUCUCUUAUACA
rnacentral:rRNA from 1 species